UACGUAGGGUGCGAGCGUUGUCCGGAUUUACUGGGCGUAAAGCGCACGUAGGCGGAUUGUUAAGUCAGAGGUGAAAUCCUGGAGCUCAACUCCAGAACUGCCUUUGAUACUGGCAAUCUCGAGUCCGGAAGAGGUGAGUGGAACUCCUAGUGUAGAGGUGGAAUUCGUAGAUAUUAGGAAGAACACCAGUGGCGAAGGCGGCUCACUGGUCCGGGUACUGACGCUGAGGUGGCG
rnacentral:rRNA from 1 species